UACGUAGGGGGCAAGCGUUGUCCGGAUUUACUGGGCGUAAAGAGCGUGUAGGCGGCCAAACAGGUCCGUUGUGAAAACUGGAGGCUUAACCUCCAGACGUCGACGGAACCGUGUGGCUAGAGUCCGGAAGAGGAGAGUGGAAUUCCUGGUGUAGCGGUGAAAUGCGCAGAUAUCAGGAAGAACACCAAUGGCGAAGGCAGCUCUCUGGGACGGUACUGACGCUGAGACGCGAAAAGCGUGGGGAGCGAACAGG
rnacentral:rRNA from 1 species